GACGGAGGGCGCAAGCGUUGUUCGGAAUUACUGGGCGUAAAGCGCGGGCAGGUGGUUCGUUAAGUCAUUUGUGAAAAUCCGGGGCUCAACCCCGCGAAAUGCAGAUGAUACUGGCGAGCUGGAGAUCGGUAGAGGCUAGCGGAAUUCCUGGUGUAGCGGUGGAAUGCGUAGAGAUCAGGAAGAACACCCGUGGCGAAGGCGGCUAGCUGGGCCGAGUCUGACACUCAUCCGCGAAAGCGUGGGGAGCAAACAGG
rnacentral:misc_RNA from 1 species